CGGGAUGUGGUGUACGGUGCACGGCUGCUCUGUAUUCGUACUGGCCAGGUGAAUGGUAUACAGCAGCAGGACAGGGUUCGACUCCCUGUAUCCCGA